AACGAACGCUGGCGGCAUGCCUAACACAUGCAAGUCGAACGAGACCUUCGGGUCUAGUGGCGCACGGGUGCGUAACGCGUGGGAACCUGCCCUUAGGUUCGGAAUAACUCCCCGAAAGGGGUGCUAAUACCGGAUAAUGCCUUCGGACCAAAGAUUUAUCGCCUUUGGAUGGGCCCGCGUUGGAUUAGCUAGUUGGUAGGGUAAAAGCCUACCAAGGCGACGAUCCAUAGCUGGUCUGAGAGGAUGAUCAGCCACACUGGGACUGAGACACGGCCCAGACUCCUACGGGAGGCAGCAGUGGGGAAUAUUGGACAAUGGGCGAAAGCCUGAUCCAGCAAUGCCGCGUGAGUGAUGAAGGCCUUAGGGUUGUAAAGCUCUUUUACCCGGGAUGAUAAUGACAGUACCGGGAGAAUAAGCUCCGGCUAACUCCGUGC
rnacentral:rRNA from 1 species